rnacentral:rRNA from 1 species
UACAGAGGGAGCUAGCGUUGUUCGGAAUUACUGGGCGUAAAGCGCGCGCAGGCGGCUUUUCAAGUCAGGUGUGAAAGCCCGGGGCUUAACCUCGGAAUUGCACUUGAAACUGGAUUGCUAGAGUAUGGUAGGGGAGAGGGGAAUUCCUAGUGUAGCGGUGAAAUGCGUAGAGAUUAGGAGGAACACCAGUGGCGAAGGCGCCUCUCUGGGCCAUGACUGACGCUGAGGCGCGAAAGCGUGGGGAGCAAACAGG